rnacentral:rRNA from 2 species
CCUACGGGCGGCUGCAGUGGGGAAUAUUGCACAAUGGGGGGAACCCUGAUGCAGCAACGCCGCGUGAGUGAAGAAGCUCUUCGGAGCGUAAAACUCUGUCCUAAGGGAAGAAGAAUGACGGUACCUUAGGAGGAAGCCCCGGCUAACUACGUGCCAGCAGCCGCGGUAACACGUAGGGGGCGAGCGUUAUCCGGAAUUACUGGGCGUAAAGCGUGCGUAGGCGGCCAUGCAAGCUUGGGGUUUAAAGCUGCGGCUUAACCGCAGUACGCCUUUAGAACUGUAUGGCUUGAGUGCAGGAGAGGAGAGUGGAAUUCCUAGUGUAGCGGUGAAAUGCGUAGAGAUUAGGAGGAACACCAGUGGCGAAGGCGACUCUCUGGACUGUAACUGACGCUCAGGCACGAAAGCGUGGGUAGCGAACAGGAUUAGAUACCCUAGUAGUC